UUUGGACUAUUAAUGAGGUAAGUACAAUUGUACUUUGUAUAAAUAACACCUACUUUUGAAGGGCAAAAUUCAAAAGUUAUUAACAUUUGUUAUGUUGUAUUAAAAGCCGUGCAAAAAUUAAAUGAGACAAUCAAUUAGAGACGGAGGGAGUA